rnacentral:rRNA from 1 species
GAGUAACACGUAGGUAACCUGCCUUUUAGUUUGGGAUACCCAGAGGAAACUUUGGCUAAUACCGGAUACGAAUCCUGGAGGCAUCUCUAGGAUUUAAAAGGAGCUUCGGCUCCGCUUUAAGAUGGACCUGCGGCGCAUUAGCUAGUUGGUGAGAUAAUAGCCCACCAAGGCUUGGAUGCGUAGCCGAUCUGAGAGGAUGAACGGCCACAUUGGAACUGAGACACGGUCCAGACUCCUACGGGAGGCAGCAGUAAGGAAUUUUCGGCAAUGGGGGAAACCCUGACCGAGCAACGCCGCGUGAGUGAUGAAGGUCUUCGGAUUGUAAAGCUCUGUUGUCAGGGACGAACGGUAUUCCUAGGAAAUGAGGAGUAUUUGACAGUACCUGGCCAGAAAGCCACGGCUAACUACGUGCCAGCAGCCGCGGUAAUACGUAGGUGGCAAGCGUUAUCCGGAAUUAUUGGGCGUAAAGAGUGAGCAGGCGGCAGUUUAAGUCUGAAGUGAAAGCGUGAAGCUCAACUUCAUACAGCUUCAGAAACUGAACAGCUAGAGUACGGGAGAAGUAAGUGGAACUCCAUGUGUAGCGGUGAAAUGCGUAGAUAUAUGGAAGAACGCCAGUGGCGAAGGCGACUUACUAGCCCGAGACUGACG